rnacentral:rRNA from 1 species
UGAGUAACACGUGAGCAACCUGCCCGACAAACCGGGAUAACAGCGGGAAACUGCUGCUAAUACCGGAUACACCAGGUAUGGCGCAUGCUGUAUCUGGGAAAGGGUUUACCGAUGUCGGAUGGGCUCGCGUCCCAUUAGCUAGUUGGUGAGGUAACGGCUCACCAAGGCGACGAUGGGUAGCUGGUCUGAGAGGACGAUCAGCCACACUGGAACUGAGACACGGUCCAGACUCCUACGGGAGGCAGCAGUGGGGAAUCUUGCACAAUGGGCGAAAGCCUGAUGCAGCGACGCCGCGUGGAGGAUGAAGGCCUUCGGGUCGUAAACUCCUGUCUGGGGGGAUGAACACUGACAGUACCCCCGGAGGAAGCCCCGGCUAACUACGUGCCAGCAGCCGCGGUAAUACGUAGGGGGCGAGCGUUGUCCGGAAUUACUGGGCGUAAAGCGCGCGCAGGCGGCCUAUUAAGUCAGGUGUUAA